CGGACGGGCGAGUAAUGUCUGGGAAACUGCCUGAUGGAGGGGGAUAACUACUGGAAACGGUAGCUAAUACCGCAUAACGUCGCAAGACCAAAGAGGGGGACCUUAGGGCCUCUUGCCAUCGGAUGUGCCCAGAUGGGAUUAGCUAGUAGGUGGGGUAACGGCUCACCUAGGCGACGAUCCCUAGCUGGUCUGAGAGGAUGACCAGCCACACUGGAACUGAGACACGGUCCAG
rnacentral:rRNA from 1 species